UAAAUUAACUUAUACAUAAUGCGAUAGUAAAAAUCGACUGUGUCCUCUUCAGAGAUUAUUAAUAUACCUACGUUGUGGUAUUACGAUUUAUUGACUUUUAGAACUGAAGAUGAGGAGUAGGAAUAUCAGGUAUUAAUGUAGUGAGUAAUAUUUUUAAGUGCACAUUUAUCAAAUAAAUAAUUUACCUUAUUUUUUAUUUAAAAUUAUUCUGUAUAUUUUAUAUAAUAGUGGGCUCCAAAGUUGUUAUCAGUUAAAUCAACUAUAGAAACACAUAAAAUAUAAGCAAAUAAAAAAAAACAAAUAAGAAAUAAUUCCUACAUUAUUUCAAGUAUCUACAACAUACCUGCUUGUAUAUGAAUCAAUUAUUAGUUUUACAUUAUGUAUAACACAUUUGCAAUGUCUACAAGUCUCUAUAGUGUAUAGGCACAUGUUUAGAUAUUAAAAAUUAAUUUGUUUUCAUAUUUUAAUAGGGAAAUACCAAUAAAUGUACAUUACAAGAAUCUACAAGUGUUGGCAUUGAUAGUUGUAAUAAAGUAUCAACUGACAUGUUUGAAAUGGAAAAAUUCAUAAAAGUGAAUGACGAAGAAGAAAAAAGUAAAUAUCAUUGUGGCAAUUAUCUUUUGAGUACGUAUUUUUCUCUCUUUUGUCCAAUCUCACCGCCUAAAUUUAUCCACACGCAAAAGAAAAAUAAGGUACAACAAAUUUUGGUUCAGGAUAUUUAUGUUAACUCAACUUGAAUUUAAAAUUUGAAUACAAUCUCAUAAUAAGAGUACGGAUGUUGUUUCAUUUGCAACUUUUUUUCCAUCUUUUCAAUUUAUUGCUAACUAAGUUUCAAAUACGUUUCAUGUAGUCGACACUCGACAAUCGUGUAGAUAAGAUUAUACUAAAACAGGGAUGGGCAUCCCAAAUGUACUAAAGGGCCAGUUUUUGACAAUUAAAAUCUAUGCGAGCUAGAGCAUAGCAAAAAGAAAAAAAAAAUUAUUCAAAGUAUAUAUGUAUUUAAAUUAGUAUUUAUUUAGCAUAAUUUGAAUUAACAGUAAAUAUAAAGAAAGGUUAUUGAAAAUAAUUAAAUUAAAUAAAAUAAAAAUAACACUAUUACUACUUGUUCAAUGUGACAUUUGUGACUGCUAAUGAUAACGCAGCAAAAUCGAUUACUAUUUCAGAAGUGGAAACACAAAGUAGGUGACUUAAUGUUUCAUCAGUAAGACAAUUUUUUUGCUUUGAUUUUAUAUGUUUCAUAUUUGAAAAUGUACAUUCACAAAUGUAGGUAGUUCCAAAUAUGGAUAACAUUUUUAACGCAAACUCUCAUAAAAGAGGAUAUUUGUUAACAGGUAAUUUUUUUCAAAAGCUUACAUCAAUAUCUUUCGUGGAUAAUAAUGAGUCAGUUUGCAACUCGCAUAAUUCUGAUUGAAGUGCAGCAUCUUGCUUUUCAAUUUCAACUGCCAUUGGAUUAUUAAACAAAUUUAUUUGAGGACGCGUAAGUUCAACUUCUUCAAAUCGUCUUUCGAAUUCUACAGUUAAUUCAUGCCAGUGGGUAAUGCAAUUUUCAAAAUUGAACUCGUUAAAAUGUUGAGAAAUAUUAGUUAAAAAUGCCAAUUAACAUAGAAAUUGUUUAUCAAUCAUUUAGUUUUCUAAAUAAGUGGUUUCAGUUGUACUAUUCGUUUAGGAAACUCAAGUAUUUCUUUUCUCAAAACAAAAUAUCGUUCGAGACACUUUCCACUACUAAGUUUCUGUAAAUAUGUAAUAAAAUUACGAAUUGCACUAUCAGUGUCAGUUAUACCCGUGGUCUUCAAUCAGUGGGUCGCGACCCAUUUUUGGGUUUUCUUUUUAAAAUAAAAUUAAGUUUGAAAAUUAUUGUAAUAUAUUAUGUUAUAAACAAUAUUAUAUAAUUUAUAUUCAAAAAUAUAAUAAUAUAAUGGAUUUCAAAUCACAGUAUUUGUUUUGUAAACUGGUAUGUUUUUAUUUAGUAUGACAUUAAAAAUAAGAGUUAACCAGGCUAAUAAUAAAACAAAUAUAUUAUAUUAUUAUCGUUAGGAUGUUGUCGCUGUGUUUAAAGAUGAAUAAAUGUUAGUCGUGUUAUUGUUCUAAUCAUAUUUAUGUAUCCGUUAAAAAGUUUUUUUUAUUUUUAUUUAUUUAUUUAUAACAAUACUACUACAAAGUAUUAAGUAAUUUUAGAUGUUUUGUUUUUUUGUUUUUCUACAAACAUUUUUCUUUAUGUAUGCCUUUUAUAGGUCGCGAAUAAUGUAUGCUUAAAAAAGUGGGUUGCCAAUAAUGUUCGCCUAAAAAAGUGGGAUGUGAGUCCAAAAAGGUUGAAGACCAUUGAGCUAAAAGACAUGUCACUGUGCAUCUUGAAAGUGAUAUUUUUUUAAAUUCACUAGCAAUUUUGUUUUAAUUUAUUGUUUCAGUCAUUUUUAUUGCACAGUUUUUAACAAAUUCGUCAUCACUCAACGAGUUUUUAGAUUUUGCUAUUUCAUUAGAAAUAAUAUAUGAAGCUACUAAACUGGAUUGUUGUGAAGUUGUUGUUGUUGUUGUCAUCACAUUUUGUUAUAAUUGAAGUUUUCUUUUCCGAUCAAUUAUAACACUCUCUCUUGCAUAUCACCAAUGUAUUUUUCAUAUUUAGACAAAUAAUUUGUCAUGUAAUGUCUUUUUAAAUUAUAUUUUUUUAGUACUGCAAUAAUAUUUAAACAAACUAAACAUUGAGGGUUUUUUGUUAAUAAUAAAUAAAUAUUCAUUUUCUUAUAAUCUGUUGCAUAGGCCAAUUGCCCAUCCCUGUACUAUAAUAUUGCCAGCUAUAAAAUCUAGUAAUGGUAUCAUAUUCUUAUUUUGAUAAUUCCAAGUCGGUAGGUAUUCAAUACAAUACAAAAAUAAUUUGUGAAAUGUGACUGUUUGACUGUUAUAAUCUGUUUUUCAGUCACUCGAUGAAUUUUGAGUGAUUGUGUUCUGUUAUUAUGCUGAAAAUUAAGCUAACUAUUUCCAUUUUUGUAAAAAAAAUUGUUCCUUUUUAGGAAGGAAUCAAUUCCAAUAGUUUUUUGUCACUACAAUAUCCUUGCAGAUGAGUAUUAAAUAAUAAUAAAAAUUAAAAAUUUGUUUAGUAUAAGAAGAAAAACCUUAAGCCUGGUCCAAAAUAAAGUAACUCGGUGUUUUCAAGUAUUGCCAUUUGUUUUUGUUUUCUUGAAACAAACAUUAACAUUUAUAAACAUGCUGUUCACAUCUUAUCAACAAAUUUGGAUGUAUAUUGGAAAGUAGAAGAGACACUAUUACGAAAAUUGGGUAAGAUGAUCAACAUAAAUAAUCAUUAAUUUGUGAUAUACCUAUUGUCAGGUGUUUGUGAUUAAACUUAAUAAAACUAUUUUUUUUUGUUCACAGUCCAACAAGUAAUGAUGAAAUGUACAACUUAUAUAUUAUGUACUGAGUGGAAGCAGAGGUGAAUAGUCUACUGCUUACUGUUAAGUUUUCUAUGUAGGGACUUCUACAUGACAAAAUUGUAAUUAUUUUUAUCAAUUCACCACCUGAGUGGACAGUUUUCCAUUUAAUAGUGNAAAAAAUUAAAAAAAAAAAAAAAAAAAAAAAAAAAAAAACAUAGGAAGCUGAAUGAGAAAAUAUAAGAAUUGUAUAAAUAUCAUUAAAUCAUAUUAUCAUAA
rnacentral:lncRNA from 1 species